rnacentral:rRNA from 1 species
UACGAAGGGGGCUAGCGUUGCUCGGAAUCACUGGGCGUAAAGGGUGCGUAGGCGGGUUUUAAGUCAGGGGUGAAAUCCUGGAGCUCAACUCCAGAACUGCCUUUGAUACUGAAGAUCUCGAGUCCGGGAGAGGUGAGUGGAACUGCGAAGUGUAGAGGUGAAAUUCGUAGAUAUUCGCAAGAACACCAGUGGCGAAGGCGGCUCACUGGCCCGGUACUGACGCUGAGGCACGAAAGCGUGGGGAGCAAACAGG